rnacentral:rRNA from 1 species
UACGAAGGGGCUAGCGUUGUUCGGAAUUACUGGGCGUAAAGCGCACGUAGGCGGACUACUAAGUCAGGGGUGAAAAUCCCGGGGCUCAACCCCGGAACUGCCUUUGAUACUGAUAGUCUCGAGUCCGGAAGAGGUGAAGUGGAAUUCCGAGUGUAGAGGUGAAAAUUCGUAGAUAUUCGGAGGAACACCAGUGGCGAAGGCGGCUCACUGGUCCGGUACUGACGCUGAGGUGCG